UUCGUAGGCGGUGUGGCAAGUCGGGAGUGAAAUCUAUGGGCUUAACCCAUAGGCUGCUUCCGAAACUGCUGUGCUUGAGUGUGGGAGAGGCGCGUGGAAUUGCAGGUGUAGCGGUGAAAUGCGUAGAUAUCUGCAGGAACACCCGUGGCGAAAGCGGCGCGCUGGACCACAACUGACGCUGAGGAACGAAAGCUAGGGGAGCAAACAGGAUUAGAUACCCUGGUAGUCCUAGCCCUAAACGAUCAGGACUUGGGGUGCCGCCCGUUCGGGCGUCGUCCCGGAGCUAACGCGUUAAGUCCUGCACCUGGGGAGUACGGCCGCAAGACUGAA
rnacentral:rRNA from 1 species